rnacentral:rRNA from 1 species
AUUGAACGCUGGCGGCAGGCCUAACACAUGCAAGUCGAACGAGAGGCGGACGGGAGAGUAAUGUCCGGGAACCUGCCUGAGGGAGGGGGAUGACUACUGGAAGCGGUAGCUAAUACCGCAUACCAUCGGAUGUGCCGGGAUGGGAAUAGGUGGUGGGUGGGGUAACGGCUCACCAAGGCGACGAUCCGUAGCUGGUCUGAGAGGACGACCAGCCACACUGGAACUGAGACACGGCCCAGACUCCUACGGGAGGCAGCAGUGGGGAAUAUUGGACAAUGGGGGAAAGCCUGAUACAGCCAUGCCGCGUGUAUGAAGAAGGCCUUCGGGUUGUAAAGCACUUUUAGCAGGGAGGCGUUACCUGCAGAAGAAGCACCGGCUAACUACGUGCCAGCAGCCGCGGUAAUAC